rnacentral:rRNA from 1 species
AAAUGUAAAACAUUAAAUUUAAAUAAUUUGGCGGUAUUUUAAGUAAUUAGAGGAAUUUGUUAGAUAAAUGAUAAUCCACGAUAGGAAAGUCCUAAAAAGUAUUUUUAUGUAUUGUUAUUUAAAAAUUAUUUUAAAAGAAUAAAUGAUUAGGAAAUUUAAUUAAAUUUAAAUUUAAAUCAAAAUAUAGAAUUUUUAGGAUUAGAUGAAUUACAGUUUAUUUAA